rnacentral:rRNA from 1 species
GAUGAACGCUAGCGGCAGGCCUAACACAUGCAAGUCGAGGGGCAGCAUAAAAUAAACUUGUUUAUUUGGUGGCGACCGGCGCACGGGUGCGUAACGCGUAUGCAACCUACCUUAUACUGGGGAAUAGCCCGAAGAAAUCCGGAUUAAUGCCCCAUAGUACUGAGACUUCUCCUGGGGAUUCAGUUAAAGCUUUGGCGGUAUAAGAUGGGCAUGCGUCCAAUUAGCUAGAUGGUGAGGUAACGGCUCACCAUGGCGACGAUUGGUAGGGGGCCUGAGAGGGUGGUCCCCCACACUGGUACUGAGACACGGACCAGACUCCUACGGGAGGCAGCAGUGAGGAAUAUUGGUCAAUGGGCGCAAGCCUGAACCAGCCAUGCCGCGUGAAGGAUGAAGGUUCUAUGGAUUGUAAACUUCUUUUAUUUGGGAAUAAACCUCUUUACGUGUAGAGAGCUGAAGGUACCAAAUGAAUAAGCACCGGCUAACUCCGUGCCAGCCGCCGCGGUAACAC